AACCAGAUCCUGCAUGCCGCAACUAAGACCCGGCGCAGCCAAAUAAGUAAAUACAUAAUUUAAAAAAAAAAAGAAUUUAGAAGGAAAUGGAAAAUGUCCUGUAGAUUAGGAUGGUCUAGGAAGGCUUCAUGGAAGAGUCAGGGCUUAAACUCAGUCCUGAAGGAUUACUGUGGUUAAUGUAAGUGGAGGGGCAGUAGAGGGAAUCCAAAUAAGAAAUACUGAUACAAUAAAAGUACACAAUAAUUCUCUCUUUGUGGUAAACAUUUAGUAGACCUGCUUGAUUAGAAGAGGGAAGGAAGAGAGAGAGAGAAUGUAAUGAGGAACAACAUACAUGUUAUAUUCAUCCAUCCAUCCAUCCAUCCAUCUAUCCAUUCAUCUAUCCAUCCAUCUACCAAGCACAUAGUUAGGGAGUUAGGUAAGGCGCAGAGCUAGGAUUUGAACUAGGGUUGCUGUGCAUUCAAGCUUAUAUUCUUUUUAUAAGUAUGAAAUGUUUUCAAUACAUGUUUGCAAGAGCUGAGCUGUGGAUGUAGAGAUAGUGAGUUUCUUUAUUACUCUUUUCCAAGAAUUAACUUGAUACGUUUAACAGAUGUACGUCAAGAAAGCAAUGCUAAAGAAAGAAAAAAAGCUAUGUGAGCAGACAUGCGUUGGUAUAUGUAUAUGUGUUGAGUAUGUGUACAAAAGAGAAGGUCAUUCAGCCAUUGUUAACCACAUCCAUGUCAAAAGAAGUAAUGAAUUAUCUUCUUCAGCACUGUAUUUGCUUUCUGAUUUGUACAAGAUCUCUUCUAUUCCAUUAGUCCUUUGAAGUGCUGCUCACCAAGGAGAUUAUAAGGUGGGAAGAAAGAGAGGAUGAAUGAACGCAUGAGCAAUCUUCAUCAUAAGGAGAAACAGCUCCGAGCACACUUCAUGCUGAAAGCAGAUGGGGGAAGAAUCUACAUGAUGAUUGAGAUGUGCAGAUGGAUAGACUGUAGGAUGAAAAAAAGGGCAGCUCUAAAAUAUAGAGAAUGAACAGACUUACUGCUGAAAAACAAGUGAAUGAUGAAAAUUGAGAAAAUUUGCAGUAAUGAUUAGACCAUAUGGAGUAAAGUAUCUACUUUUAUUAGAGAAAAUUUUCUUCUGAUAUAAGGACAAUUGCUCUUAUCUGAGAAGAAAACAUGUACACCAGCUGAACUUGGAAAUUUCCUUUUUGUCUUAUAAUGUAAUAGCAUCAACGUAUCAUGUUUUUCUUAAAACUGUGUAUUUGUAUUAAUAUGUUGCAAUUUGAAAAUAACCUUCACAUGUAAUUUUUUUCAUAUAAUCUCUGUGAUUUAUGUAAGGCAAAUAUUAUCCUUAUCUUGUAAAUAAAAACACCCAACAUUAGUAGUCUGAGUGAUUUUUACUAUAUUGUGAAGCGUGAAAGUGGUAGAAAAUAAAUA